GACGUAGGGCGCGAGCGUUGUCCGGAUUUAUUGGGCGUAAAGAGCUCGUAGGCGGCUUGUCGCGUCGACUGUGAAAACCCGCGGCUCAACCGCGGGCCUGCAGCCGAUACGGGCAGGCUGGAGUUCGGUAGGGGAGACUGGAAUUCCUGGUGUAGCGGUGGAAUGCGCAGAUAUCAGGAGGAACACCGGUGCGGAAGGCACCGGUCGCCUGGUCAGCUGACUGCGCUGACGAGCGAAAGCGUGGG
rnacentral:rRNA from 1 species